CAGUAGCCGCGGUAAAACGUAGGGCGCAAGCGUUAUCCGGAAUUAUUGGGCGUAAAGAGCUCGUAGGCGGUUUGUCGCGUCUGCCGUGAAAGUCCGGGGCUCAACCCCGGAUCUGCGGUGGGUACGGGCAGACUAGAGUGAUGUAGGGGAGACUGGAAUUCCUGGUGUAGCGGUGAAAUGCGCAGAUAUCAGGAGGAACACCGAUGGCGAAGGCAGGUCUCUGGGCAUUAACUGACGCUGAGGAGCGAAAGCAUGGGGAGCGAACAGGAUUAGAUACCCCCGUAGUCCCUGUCUCUUAUAC
rnacentral:rRNA from 1 species